rnacentral:rRNA from 1 species
UACGGAGGGUGCAAGCGUUAUCCGGAUUCACUGGGUUUAAAGGGUGCGUAGGUGGGUCUGUAAGUCAGUGGUGAAAUCUCCGAGCUUAACUCGGAAACUGCCAUUGAUACUAUAGGUCUUGAAUUAUCUGGAGGUUAGCGGAAUAUGUCAUGUAGCGGUGAAAUGCUUAGAUAUGACAUAGAACACCGAUUGCGAAGGCAGCUGGCUAUAGGUAUAUUGACACUGAGGCACGAAAGCGUGGGGAUCAAAUAGG